AAAGGGAGACCUAAUUCAGGUAAAAGACGAAAAAAAAGUAGUCGCUACCAAGAAUCAAUCCCAAAAGGUCGGAGCGAGGCGAAAUUGGCUUUCAAACUAGGUUCUGGGUUCAAACAAGACCUGAAUCAGGAACAAGGGCUAUUAGAUCAGGUGGUUAGAGCGCACCCCUGAUAAGGGUGAGGUCCCUGGUUCGAGUCCAGGAUGGCCCACCUGCACAGGUGGCAAAAACAAGAGAAGCGAGGAAUCAGCACCUUAUCUUACUUAUAUAGUAAGAGAGAAUGCUGGCUCUGAGUAAAGAGUCCAGAGGAACCUUGAAAACUGCAUAGAGCUAGGUGAAAAAGCCAAAAAAGAAGACCGCAAG
rnacentral:tRNA from 1 species